GCGAUUUGUGAUGCUCAGGCAGGAGGAGAUCUUGUUUCUAAGCAGGGAGAGGCUUUGCUUGGACGGCAGCAGCCUAUUUUUGCUGUGCCUUCUUAGGGAGCUGGUGUUGGGGUUUAUCUCAUUUCCAAAUGGGUGUAAGUUUGGGAAUGGCAGUUUGCUUCAGGAGUAAGUAAAAGCUGGAACUCUACCCAGAAUUUAACACGCGUGAAACAGGAGAGACAAUUAGCAAAUGCAUUUUCUCCUUUGGCCUCAGCGAUCAGCAGGCACAGAGCUAAAUUUAGUGCUCAACUGCACUAACAUCUAAAAUACCAGGUAACACUAAUUUCUUUCUCUUGCUUAUUCUGAUUUUGAUUAUUUUAAAGCACCAUGUUUUAUUUGUUGUAAGUUGCCAAAAUCAAUGGACACACAACUUGCUCAUAUUUAUGCCUCAUUUAACAUGGUUUCCCUUGGUUGGUGAGAAGUAAAAAUCUCAGGGUUUAAAGAUUGAACUCUGCAAAUAAGUAACUGCCCCUUUGAGGGAACCAAACCAAAUCACUACUGUUAUGGACAAAAACUUUGUGCCUUCCCCAAACUGAUAUGCUGAAUUAAGCUCAAUCUCUUGUAUGAUGCUAUUUAGAGAUAGAUUUUGGGAAAGUGUUUAGAAUUUGAUGAGGUUGUGCUGGGGGUGUAGGUCAGUGGGAGAGUAUCUGCUAUGUAAGCAGGAAACCCUAAUUUGAUUCUCAGCCCCCCCCCACGCACAUGUGCACACAACACAGAUGCAAACAUGCAAUUUGAUGAGGUCAUGGGGAUAGGACUUUCAUGAUGAGAUCAGUGUCCUUACAAGAAAAGACACCAGAGAACUUGCUCACUCUCCCAUUUCACACAAAGACAAGAAAGAGUAUGUGAGAAGGAAGCCAAUUGCAAGCCAAGAAGACAGUCUUCAUCAAACUUGUCUUUGCUGGCAACCUAUUCUUGGAAUUCAGUCUCUGAAACCAUGAAAAAGAAAUUUAAGUGAUUUAAGUCACCUGCUCUAAGAUAUUUUGUUAUGAUACCCCAAACAGAUAAAGUCAUACCUUCAAUUUGGACUUCAGGAAUAAUUGUGGAAUGACAACUAUCUUGGCUUUUCCUAAACAUGCCUCAUAAUGAAAAUCAUCUAGGCUUCAGGACAUUAGCUAAAAAUUCAGAUUUCAAACACCUCCCCUUGAGAUUCUGAUUCAGCAGAACUGGAGACUGGCCUGGAACUCUGUUUCUAACAAGCAUCCCAGGUGACUGAUAAUCAGGUAAAUCUGGGACUCUGAGGUCCCUUUCUCCCUCUGAAGCAUUGCCCUCAGUUUGAGAGUCAAACCUUAAACAGACAAAAACACGCUCUUUCAUGUCCAUUAAGCCAUAAACUUUAGGAUGAGAAAAGGUGUAAGGAAAGUCUAUUUACCCCUGAAUCUAGACCUAUGUGCUGGCUUUUGCCAAUUGUUCCACCUUGUCUGAGGAUGGACAGAUGUUUGGCACAAGAAGAUGAAUACUUGAUGUUAUGUCUAGGAGUGGGUUAAGGGAUCAUCAUACCUCAGCUUGCAGAGAAAGCUUUGUACCUACUGGGAACAUUUAUGUGUAUUUGUAUGUGUAGGCUUGAUAAAUGGCUUUCAUAUGAGGCUAAAAUGUUCAUUUAUACAUGGUUGCAUAAAUGAAAGAAGCACAUUUAUCUCUGUUUAGAAUUUUCAGGAAUUUACUUCCCCCUAUAUUCUUAUUUGUGAGGUAUUUUAUUAUCACUUUUUGUUUUGUUUUCCCUUUAUACUUGUAGGUGGGUAUUACAGUUCCAUUUUAAAGAUCAAUACAUGUGUAAGCAGAUGGCUUUUCAAAUCUCUUCUAAUGCAUUCUUCUCUUCCUUUCCAGAGUGCUAUUUAUCUUUUUGUAUUAGUUUAUUAGUAAAGAUGGUCAGAGAUCAAUGCCAGGAGGGUGGGAAGAAUAAGUGAAUCCCGAAGUAGACUGCUUUGGGCUUUCUCUGCAAGCCCGCGUGUUGCUACAGAAAAAUUAGGCACCACUUGCCUUUGAUGUGCUGAUUCCCCGCACUGUUAUGUACAGAACAUCUGGAAACAGAGCUAGCAGAGGAUAUACCAAAUUGUAUCUGCUUCAUUGCUCUUUGAUUCCAAUAUACAAAUCAUGCCCAUUCUGUUUGGUUCUCAGGAAAUAUAGCCUAACAAAUCGUGUUCUUCCUCUUCCCUUUGGGUAUGUCAGGCUCUGGAAUCAUUCACUAUUUUGGUUGGUUAGGUAUGUGAACAUCCAUUCGGUGGAGCUGGUAUUUGGGGUUCAGAUAGGAGGGAGUCUUUGAGUCCAACCAAGAAAGAUACUUUAAGUUCCUCAAUCCCUUUCUGCUCACUGGCUAAGGGAGGAAUUCCAGCCCUGUAUUACAUGCUUGUUGGGAAUGUUACAACCUCAGCGUCCUGAAUUAAUUAAAAACAUUUACCUCUGAAGGCGUUUAGACCUUGAUUUGGGGAAGAGCCAGGAGUUGCACAGCACCAGAUCUAGUGAAUAAGGCGGGUGAGGAUGCACCACCACGUUUUCCCAAGUCCACCUUUCCACUGGAUGGCACCUGACAGUAACGAUCACUGUAUUUUUUUUUUAUUAUUAUAUCUCAUAGAGACACAAAAGUGGACUUUCAGAACUGCUUUAGAAAAUUGCAAGGAUGAUAGGAUGUGUUCACAUGAGAGGGGUGUUUUGAGAAGGAUUAAUGGCAGUAUACCUUAUACUGUAGUAAUUUUAAAGAAUUUAAACAUUCAUCAUAUUUUGAUCACACUUUGUAUGUGGUCCUUUGGUCAACAAAUGCUAACCUCUGCUGUCUUAAAGGAAAUCAUCCUGAACAAGUACAGAGCCAGAAGGAAAGCCACAAGUUCUGGGAUAAACAAUGGUAGAGACUUGGGACCACCCGGAGCAGAGGGAAUGGCCGUGAUGAGACCAGUCAGCCUGGUAUCUCAGGCCAGCUCUCAAGUGUCCAUUUGGAGAAGGGCCCUCCCUUCCAGCUGGGCUGCUGGCACCUUUCCUCUAGUAACUCCUGGACCUGCUUGUUCACUUGCUUUGGUUCUACACUGGCUCCACAGCAAUGCGCGCCUAUCUGACAGCACUUGUCAGACUGUCCUGAAACUUAUCACCUUAUUCUCAUCCUCCUUUCUAGUCUCUGAGCUCCUCGAAGGCAAUAGCUUGAUUAUAUCUUAAAAAUAUUGGUACCACAAGCAAAAACUGGGCAAACCUCAUAAAUCCAGUGUAUACCUCGAUAAAUGAUUAUAAGGCAAGGGAACCACUCUUGCCAAGAAACAGAAUUCUGUCACCCGCCCCUAAAGUUCUUUCCAGCUGUAUUGCCCAUGUCACAACUCCUCCUUCCUCCCACAAGGUACUGUCCUGAUGUUUGCACCAAUCACUUCCUGAAACUUGCAGUUUUAUCACCCAAGUGUACAUUCCUACACACUACCGCUUGGGCUGCCCCACUUCGAAACUGUGUGUGUAUACAGUAUCUUGUAAUCUGUAGGCUUCUCCUCCUUUUGAUUUCUUUACGUUUAUCUGUUGAUGAACUUGGGCCAUUUGCCCUCAGUUUCCCACAGUCUGGAUUUUGCUGAUUGAUAAUAUAUACACAGUUUAGGUGUUCCUCUGCCUUUGGUAUUUUGUGAAAAUUUCCAGCUGAAUCCAGAGCCUGGAUCAGAUUAAGGGGCUAGUAUAUUCCUUCAGCAAGAUGGAAGUAGGGGUCUCAUAUUUGAUUGUCCUGUAUAAUCCUAGCAGCAGUGAACUGAUAUGAGGCUCACACAUUAGAUAAUUCUAGAUUGCAAAAAUAGUGGAAUUCUAAUUAUAUAUUUCAAAUAAUUUUAUUAGGUAGAAUCCUUUUAUAAAGAGGCAUUUUUUAUCUAAUUGGUAUAAUCAAGGAUAUAGCUGAUAAAGGAAAGCAAUACUUGGCUCAUUUCAUGUGCUUAUCAGCUUUCAAGGUAAUGAUUUAUUGUCUUACAGUCUCUUCAGAUGACUAAUUCUUUGUUUAUAUAUCACUAUAAGGUAAUGAGUUGAAGUGUAUUUGAUUGCAGUUAUCAUUGUUGUAGCUUAAAUUGACCCAUGUGAGUGUUUCCAGUUUGGUUCCUAAGACCUAAUUAUGAUUCCAGAGUCUUUGGUAACUUCCUUAUCAGUGCCACAAGAUUUUCUGAGCUCAUAUUGUUCAUGUCCCAAGUCAGACCUUGAACCAAACAUUUCUCCAACAUUUCAUAUUUUUUUGGUGGUAAAUGAUUUUCAACCUAGGGGCUGGGGGUUUAGCUCAGCGGCAUAAGUGCCUGCCUUGAAAGCAGGCAGUCAUGAGUUUGAUCCCUGGUACCGAUAAAAAGGAAAAAGACAAAAAAAACAAAACAAAACAAAACAACAACAACAACAAAAACUACAACCUAGAUGUCAAGGAUUGCUACAUACAGUGAAGUGCUGAUAAUGUUUAAUAAUGAAUUUUUAAAAAGACUGAGCAAGGAAUGGUGGUUGACACUUGUAAUAUUGCACUUAAGGAGGCUGAAGCAGGAGGAUUGCAAGUUCAAGUUAUUGCCCAGCAAUUUAGUGAGAACUUCUCUCAAAAUUAAAAAGUAAAAAUACUCUAAAAAGUUAUAGGGAUAUAGCUCCCUAUAACCCUAUAGUGGUAGGGUCCCUGGUUAAUUCACAGUUCUGAAAAAAAGACCAGACUUGUAAUAUUUUCUAAUUUUCAUGGUCCAAUUAAUGGCUAAUCUCAGGCUACUAACACGAAGUCACUGAAUGUAGAGUUGGGAGAAAUGUACGAUUCGUCUUCAUCAGCUUUCACUGUAACAUCUCAUGAACACCUUACAGAUCUGAUUCUCCAGGACAUAAAGAAUAAUAGAAUUAGAAUAUUUCAUAAUUACUCAUUUGUUUUCUCCUAUGCCACACACAUAAAGUCUAAGAAUAAUACUGCUGUUGCCACAGUGAUAAUCACUAUGCUUUCGAGGGAGUACGGUGGUGGUGGGUCCUUAAGGAUCCCUGGACAGUACGCAGUCUUUCUUCUCUCCUUGUGCACAGACACUUGUGCUGUUGGUAGUUUGUUUUACACCUCUUGUAAUUUGGGGCUUAUGAGAAAACUUGCUGCUAGUUUUGUUAUAGAUUUUUGGCUUUGUUAUCUAACUUUUCUGCCUAUUUUUAUAUACAGAUUUGGGAAGAUUUAAAGACCAUGAUAUUGACACCACCGCCAUUUCCCCAGGAUCCUCCAGGAACUGUAUUCAAUUUUCUACCUUUAUGGUCUAGCAUAUUAGUAGUGAAUAUGCUAGCAUAUUAGUAGUGAAAAAUAGGAACAUGGCCUAUUUUUAUAUUAUAUUCUGUGAGCUUCUUAGGCUGGUGAGAUUUGUCUAUGAUCAAGCUCAGGAUUGAUUAGCAUAUAUUAUAGUUAGGUGAGCCAGGUGUCACGUGAUGCCUGGAGCAAUAUUAUUAGCUUUCCUUGGCAGUGGACUACACCUCUGAAAAAAUGCUAGCAUGCUCGUCAUUUGUGAAAUUUUCACAUGACAUUCCAGUGAGUCCCUGGAUAUCUUACACCCAUCUAUUCUGCUCUAAAGGCCUUUGUUCGGAAACUCUGGUCAGAGUGAUUAAGUAUUUAAGCAUGAGGGCAGACUGGGGGCUGAUAAGGCGGUAUGCUUACUAUCAUAUUGGUAUUGGGAGCUGGUUUUAGCAGAGAUAGCUACAAGAUCUCCCUAUCAAAUGCUGACCUAAUUCUACUUAGUACCUCCGAUCCGGACAAGCCAGGGACAGAGAAAGAGUGGCAGGGUUUGUUGCAAAGGCUAAAGCAAAGAAGGCAGUUCUAACCUGCAGAGUAAGCAGCUAACUCGGUGUGUGGAAGUGUUGGAGUCAUGAGGCUGGAGGAACUGGAGAGCUUCUCUGAUCCACAUCCUGGGUGUUAAUACAGAAGAAAGUCUAAACCCAGGGACUCUCCAAGCUGACUACCUGCUUGACUGUCUGCAUCUGAAACUUCUGUUGUGCUUGUUAAAAUGUACAUUCUUGAAGCCUUGAAGUGGACUCUCAGGUGUGCCUGGUAACCUGCACUUUAACGUAGCCUCAGUGACCCAGAGCAGAAUGGUGUGAAGUUUCCGGGAGGAUUCUGAGUUUGAAGGGUUGCAUGACUGAGCUGUGGAGUGCAAUAACUGCAACAACUUUACUUUCAUUUACUAUUAUUGCUUCUUCUCCUGCUAUUGUGUCUUUAAAACUUUUCUCUUUGGGCACAUGACAAGAUUAACAAAUUUCUGGGAUCUUUGCUGCCCAUGAGAUGCAGAUGAAUUCCUGUUUGCCAUAUGGCUUGUUACAUUUGGCUUAAAUUGCUUUGUAAGAGAACAGUCCUAGAGGAAGAUGCUGCUGCUCCUCUUAUGGGGUGAGUUUUGGGGGUCUUCUGACCCCCAAAGGGCCCCCAAAGGGCCACCAGGAUCCAUAGCCUUUCUUUUAGCUCACAAGGGUUUUGACAAUAGGUUAAUAGAGAUCACUCCUUGAGGGGUGGGGAAGAACUAUGGGCUCUGUUCCCAUGUUCCACUGCUCCACUCUGGUUUUGGGGAGGAAAUUUUAAUUUAAUUGUCUAUAGUCUUUUAUUUUUUCUGGUGGUACUGGGUAUUGAACAUAGGACCUUCACACAAAGCUACAUCUCUAGCUUUAUUCUGAGGUAGCCUCCAUGAAUUGCCCAGACUGAACUUGAACUUGCAAUCCUUGUCUCAGCCUCCUAGAGUGCUUAGAUUAUAGAUGUGCACCACCAAGCCAGGCUUGAUUGGUGGGAGUUGGAGUCUUAGCCAGCAAGCCCAGAAUUCACAUUUAAAACAGAGAUUGUCAAGCCAGGUGCGAGGACACAUGCCUGUAAGUCCAGGACUUGGAAAGCUAGGGUAGGAGGAUCACUGUGAGUUCAAGACUAGCCUGAAUUACGUAGCAAGACCCUGACUCAAAAAACAAAACAAAACAAAAGACAGAGAUUGUCAGCAUUGCCCAUGCCUUCUCAGGCUUAUCCAGCACCCUCAGGGUGGCCUUUCCCCUUAAUGCCCAGUACAGAGUGAGCUGCUGAGAGGCACUUGGUCCUCUAUGUGUGCAUGGAUAGGGAUCCCAUGGGGAUACAUAAACAGAUUGUCGUCUACCUUUGGAAAGAUAAGAAUCAGCAUAGGUUCCUGGGUCAGGAUUUCUGAGCCCUGAGGAAACUAACCUCAGUGCCAUCAUGAAUGAGGAGCACAGCAACACACCAGCCACCACACACUGACAGCUAGGACCCGAAUGCUGUGACAGUUUCUUCAUUUGAAUAGAAGUCUUCAAAUCUUUGUGGCCUAAUGUUCUCAUUAGUGAGGAGACACAUAAUGCAUUGUUAGAUCUGGCUUAGGAAUUAUUUAGAGAGGGUAAUUAUCCAUGCAUUCAUUUCUUAGGUUUGCCAUAGCCAAGUGCCACAAACAAGGUGGGUUAAAAUAAGAGAAUUUAUUACCUUGGUUCUAAAGGCUAGAAGUCCAAGACCAAGGUGUUGGCAACUAGAUUCAUACUUAGGGCUCUGACAACCAACAUGUUCCAAGCCUCUCUUCUGCCUUUUGGGGGCUUGUAGAAGCGUCACUUUGCUGUUGCUUUCACCUGGUAUGGUAUGGUGUUAUCCCCUCUUUUAAUGUCUCUUCUUUUUUGAUGACCACGUUCUUAUACACAAAUCAGUGAUCUUAGACAAGGGGCCACCCUAUUCCAGUAUGAUGUCAUCUCAUCUGAAUUUAGCUGAGUACAAACUAACCUAUUCCCAAGUCAAGUUAAAUUUUGAGGUUUGGGGAUUAAGACUUUGACAUGUCUUACUUGGAGGGAAACACUUUAGCUCAUAAUGCCUUACUACAGCGGAAGAAUUCCUAGUCUUCUGUUUAUUUAUGCUUUUUGUAGUAGCUAAAAAGACAGAUAGACAAACGAUGUGAAAAAUAACUCUGUUACAUUCAUCUAUGACCAGUCAAAUUUCCUGAGCCCUUGGAACCUUGUAAAAUGGAAAUAAGUCACAAUAGUGACCUGAAGAGCAUUCAAUGAUAUUAAAAAUAGACAUAAAUUUUAGCACCAUUUCUGGGCACAUAAUAAGCACUCAGUAGAUGCUAGCUAGGAUUAUAGUUUUUUCCUUCAGUGUUUCCUGAGGAGUUAUGAGUAUUAGAAAUAUAUUUCAGUCCAUUUACUCAUGUCACACUUACCACAUGCCCUGUAGAGUUCAUAAUAUUUCUUGUGCUGGCUGCUGGAGUCCUGAAAAAGUUAUUGCAAAGUUUUUCCCUGAAGGUUCCUGCUUUUCUUUUCUUCCCCAUGAGGUCUGCAGGGAGGCCCUGCUCACUAAUUACUGCAGUCAUGGUUUCGUAACAGGAUUUCAAUGAAGCACUUACAGCAUGAAGGUUCUCACCUAGGAAUGACUACGCUUCUUGCUUAGAAGUGGAGGGUCUCAUACGGGGCCUCAGGUUCUUAAUGUCACCUUAGAGCAGUGCUUUCUCGUCCUCAUGUUUGUUUCUUAGGGCCCUAGUUGUCUUUGAGGCAACUUUCUAAAUUUCCCACAUUUUAUGGGCACAUCCUCUUCAGGACCUGUUCCUUCAGUGAACUUCUCACUAGGAUGCCUGCCCUACUGAUCUUUGAGGAAGACAAAGUUUACACACACACACACACACACACACACACACACACACACACGCCAGCAGUGUUGACUGUAACUCACUGAAUUUGUUACAGGUGACAAGAGGUUAUUUUUGAGUAUGGAAUGAAAAUUGUUCCGGGAAUAUUAGACACUCUAUUUUCUCUGAGGACACACAAAGGAGAAUCCUUUGUUGUUACAGGGCCAUAUGUCAUAAAUAGUAUCUUCUCUCCAGGCACAUUUUGUUUCUCUCAGAUGCAGUCAAUUUCAAAGUAUUUUUUCAUCUCCAGCCCCAACCUACAGAUACAUUUUACAUGUUACUCAGUAUAUGACUCAAUAUCUCCCUAACCAAAUAUAAGUAAAACUAAAAUUACCUCUGUGAUGCACUUGGAACUAUUUUGUUCUGUUCCAUUCUAUUCCGUUCUGUUCCAUCCUGUUCUGUCCUGUCCUGUUCCAUUCUGUUUCAUUCUGUUCUGUUCCCUCUGUCUUUUAUUCUGUUUGCUGUGGACAUGGCUGGCUAAUGUUUACCAGUGUUGAAAUCUCUUCCUUUUUUAGGUGCCUGGGGCAGGUGCGUUGGCAAUGUUGAGGUAGAUGAGGUGAGGAGACUAAUUCUGGCCAAUGUGCUAAGGUCAGGAGUGACUAGCAUCACUUCUUCAUGGAAACACAAGAGGCCAGCAGGUGAAAAGCAGCUGCUUGUUUCCCCACAGUGACCAAGAAGGCGUGGGGCUGAAACAGUGGAGAUGCAGGUCAUGUCAGGCACAUCUGCGUUACCAUGAGGAGCACAGCUCCUCUAGGAAGUCUCCCAUGUCCUUGACAGCCUUUAUGUAAGAGGGGACUACAACUCCACCUGGUGAGCACUGGGGUUGUGGGAAUAUUUGUUAUCUUAGUGUUAUCUUAGUGUAGUCUGCCCUAUUCUGACUAAGAUAGACUAUUUCUCUUCUGAAAGGCUCAGAACUGGGGUAUUUUAGAUUUUUAUGUUUUUAAAACUUUUUAUAUAUAGUAUUUAUAUACAACUUAGUGAGAUGAUAGAUAUAAGCCUAAACACAAAAUGCAUUUAUGUUUCAUAGGAAUCUUAUCCAACAGCAUGAGUGAAUCUGAGUUCUGACUGUGAGCCAUUCUGUGAGGUCAGAUGUGAAAAUUUCCACUUGUGGCAUAGUGUUGGUGGUCCAAAAAUUUCAAAAUUAAAGCAUUUUGAAUUUUGGAUUUUCAGGUUAGGUAUGCUCAACCUGAUUAGAAUUCUUUUCUACUUCAUAUUAAAAUGGGGGGUUUUUGAAAUGACUCAUUAAAGGUCAUCACAUAAAAUCAUUUCUUCAAAGCAGCUGUGAGAUCCACAGCUCCAAGUGGAGACAGAGAGCUGCUGGUGGAGGGAGAGCACAUACUGCAUGGUUUUCCCUCCAGCCCUAACUCUCUGGGAUCAAACAACUUGAGGAGCACAGGUUUUGUGACCAGGGUGAAUUUUCUUUCACUUUCUUUACCAGAGGAAGCACCAGGGUCCAGUUACAAAAUGGACCAGUGGACUUACUCUAUCCGAUCCUUCUGUUUCCGUCUAUACGGAUCCCAACUUGGGACUUAGGUAUCCUGCACCUUAACAAUAGGCCUGUGUGCAUUGAGAACCCCAUUUCCCACUCUAUCCUGAGUACAGCCAUGCCAUACGGUGCCCUCGCCCACUCCAGCCACUUUAGAUGGAGCCACAGAUUACAAGUGGACCUUGCUGACUAUGAAAAGAAGCAGGCACACAGAGGCGCGGCUGCUGUGACUGUACUGUCCAGCGAUGAGCCCCGGGGCCUCUAUCUUGGCUGUGUCCUUGUGAGGUACUCCCUUCCCCCGCCACCCCACCCGCCUUCUAGCCUUACGCCCCACUCGUUCACAAGUCUCAGUUUGUGAUAAAUGAAGCCAAAUCUGAUUUCCAUGUAUGUUUUGUUUCACUGUGUCUCUUACAUGUGCUGUUCUUUCCACUUGAACAGCCUUUUAAAAAAUGUUUUUAUUACUUUGGCACCUGGAAGCCCUAAAUCCCCUCAGAUACAGUUCUUCUGUAACUCCUGGGCCAGUUCUACUGGUGUUUUAUCUACCAUUGUCCCAGGGCUUGUGACUCAGUCUUGUGUUGUAACUCUUAUAGUACCGUGUUCUGUCUGCAUCUUGAACCAGAGCUGUCUUCCUCUGGCUUUUUCAUCUUGGAGGGCUACGUAUAUUCCACCCAAGUGAAAGAAUUCCUAUGGAUGGCAAAACCACUGACUAGGAAACCUACUUACCUAGGACAAGGUUGAGAUGACCGUUCUUCAGACCCCCAGAAACUUUACAGACUUUUAUCUUUCCACACCUCUCCUUCAUGUCCUUCCUUCCUUUCUUUCUGGCAAGUUCCCUUCCCUUUUCACAGGGUCACCAAAGCAAGUCUGUGUUUUAACAGAGCCUGUACUGCAGCAGAGAGGGGCCAGUACCCAGAAUGGAGCCCUCUUUGACUAAAACCUCUGAAGUGGCUGAGGAGGGCUGCUAUGUGGCAGCUUGCAGGCCUAUUUCAGUGAAGGUGAGAGCUGAAACCAGGGAAUCUUCUGGAAGGUUUGCUGUGAAUGCUGGGGGUGGAAACAAGGGGCCCAGAUCCCUCCCUUCAUGAUCUUAGCCACUCUGGAGUGGCUAAAAUUCCAGCAGCAGCAUCUGAAGUGGCUGGAGUGGGUGGGGGCACCGUACGGCAUGGCUGUACUCAGGAUGGAGUGGGAAGUGGCGUUUGGGUUACCUCCGUAGCCCUGUCAUAACCUGCAGGCUUCACCAGGCAUCUUCUCAUUCCUUCUGAAAUACAAGUUAUAAAAUGCUCCAUUCUCCCUGAUGGAGAGAAUUUUCAGGGUCCCCUUUGGGGUGUGUGCCAGGUACUGCUUUCUCAUCAGGGUGAGGUGACCCAUUUAUUCUUUGAAACUUGUGGGACAGACUUCUAUUUACCUACACAGUAUCUAGUCUUCCUUUCCUUCUUCUAAUAAAAGCCCUAACCCAGUAAGGUGUUCUAUCUCUUCAGCAGAUUGAGUGAUAAGUGAAAUGAAAGUUGUUAGGUAGAAUUUCUAGCUCUUAAAGGGAAUAUCAAUGUUGUCCUUUCUGUUUGCCUGCCUGGAGCUUGAAUGAGCUGUCUUGAAUUCCAGCAGCCAUUUUGAGUUUAAGAGGUAAAAUGGAUUGUAGAAGCUAUAUUUUAAUAAAGUUGACAAAAAAGAAAGAUAAGGCUGUGGGGAUAUUGAUUACAUCACAGAGUUUGAUUAUCAGUCAACAGUAUCUGGUACCAGACUUUUACGCAGACUAAAUAUUUCUAUUUUAAUCAAUUCAUAGUUAUUUGGAUUUUUGUGCCGUAUGUGGCUAGAAUCAUCCUAAUAGAUACAUGGCCCAAUUCAAACAGCUCUUCUUCUUUGUUACCUCAACUAGAGAAUUUCUUCACUAGGGUUCCUACAAGUCUUUACUCAGAUCUUUUUGGUUAUAUAUCACAGUCAUUUGACAGUGUCUCUCCUCUCCUAUUUGACUGUGAGUUCCUUGAGGGAGCAAUGCUGUUGCAUUUCUCUGUGUCCACAGUGCUUAGAAAUAAGUCCUUUCACACGAUGUUUGUUGAAGUGAAUUUACUUGAAAGGGAUUUAGGGCUUUCUGUCAAUAGGCAAGUUCUUUGGGAAAAGGUUGUUACCUGAAACUUGCCCCUUCUUUUGGAUUUCCUUGGUAAGUAAUCAAGUUACGAGAAAUAACACUGGUUGGGGCGUUAGAGGUGAGCAGGGUGUGACUGGUGACCUGAAGGGAAGGUGGGACAUACAGGAGCCAUGGAUGUCAGCCUGUCAGGAUUUCCCUACACGGUUUUCAUCUGCCCUUACCUGGAGCUAUAUACAAAACCCCGGCACCCCUGCACCCUGCAGGCCUUGCAUCGCCGGCCAGGCGAAGCCUUUCCCCUGAGACUGGGUAUCCCAGAUAACUGGCUCCUCAGGCACACCUGUGCGGCUCCCGCAAAGCAGCAGCCUUGUUCCUUAGUCCUCCCAAGCCACUUUGGAAAACUCCUUCACUCCGGAAUUGCAAGAUUAAAUGAAUGUGUGUUUGGAUAAGAUGUUUUAAAGCCAAGAUCAAAGUCUCCACUGCUUGGAGUCUAGGCCCGUUUCAGAGUGUAUGGAACCUGCCCCUCCAGCUAAGUGAAUUACAGGUGUGAAGGGAGAGAAAGUCCUGCCUCCUGUGCACCCAGUGGUCACCACAUCUUCUCAGGGAUAGAACUCAGAGGGCCACAGGACACCAGUGUGCUGAGGAAAUAAGAAGGGGCACUUCCUUCUAAAGCACUCAAAACUUCUGUUGGUGUGAACAAAUACUAACCUUUGCCUAAAUAAAAUGACUAGGGAAAAAAACUAAACCAUGACUCAUGAUAUGAGUAUUACUGUCUUGUAAAAAUAAUAAGAAUCAUUCUGGGGGGUUGUUUUGGGGGUUUUUGUGUUCACUUUAAUAAACAGUUCUUUGACCUUUUAUUGCAAGGUUUGGAUCUGGAUUCAAGCCAAAUCAAGAAGGAGAAGGAGCUGUCCUGCUUGUGUUGCCACAGAAAAGGAAGAGGAAGCCCUGAAUCAUUACACAAUUUCACUCUCCUAAAUCAAACCUUCCACUUGCCAUGAUUAUUUACCAUUGCUUUGUAAUUGUGAGUAGACAGCUGAGGGGAGCUGGAAGUCUAUUUGUUCUUUAAAGUGACACAAAGUGGCACUUGGAGUCCCAAAUGAUAAUUGUUCUUUUCUCCUUGUUAAUAUCCAACUGCAGCUAGGAGUUCUGGGAAAGAAGAUUCAUGUAAUGCUAGCUCCAGAAAUUUCAGUGGGAUUUAGCUCUUGGCCUGUUUUUAAAACCCAGCUUGAAGGCACCUCAGGAAUUGGAAGGCUGAGUUGAUUGUGACCUUCAGUAGAAUUCCCAAAGAUUAUUCCAGAAGGAUGGAGAUUUCCCCUGAUUUAUGUCCCUUUACUACUCAGCAGUGGUCAAGGGGAGGAAGCAUUGGCCAUUGCUCAGAAAUGUGAUCACACUGUGGAUGUUUCUGGCUCAACCUGGUGUAUGGGGAAGUAAGUAAGAAUUGGGAAGGAAAACUGGAUCUUAUGAGAUCUCCACCUUGAAUUAAUAGGACUUUGGUGUCUAAAUAAUCCCUAUUUAAAUAUUUCUUUAAAAAACACACUUUGAUACCUGUAGGGCAACUCUGCAUAGUGGGAGGGUCUUGGCUCCUGAGCCAGUGCUCCUCUUGGAUCAUUUAUGGCAUGUGCCAGGCUCAGCAAAGCUUUCUGCUGACACGAUGCAUGAUGCAGACAGCUGAUUCCUUUGGAUCUACAUAAAGUUUCAAAUAUCUUUGAGGUUCCUGUUGGUUAACCAUGAAUAAGGCUGAUAUCAGCAGCCCUUCCAUGCAAUAAAUCAGCUUCCUGCUAUUCUUGUAGCCCAGUUCUCUGCAGUAUCAUUCAGCUUCUGAUUUAAGUUAGCAACAAAAGCAGCCAGCUCAUGCUUGUCUGACCAUUUAGCUCAGAAUUGAACAUUAAGGGCGUGUAGCAUUUAUUAAACAUGAAGUGUGUGGGGAACCCUGUGCUAAGCAUUUUACAUGAAUUAUCUCCUUAAAUUCUAGGACAUAGCUUGAUUGUAAUCCCCAUUUAAGGGUGAGGCAGUGGCGGCAUGGGAGGCAUAUCAGCCAGUCUGUGGCUACGUAGCUCGGAAGUGGAGGUUCAGGAUGUGAACUCAGGCUCCUAUUCACAGACCAGCUUUCCAGGCAAUCGCUCUACAGCGUGAUCCUUUCCUUCGACUUAGAAAUGGUCACUAGAGGGGCCUCUCAUCACUUUGGGUUGUUCCCUGCGGCAUCACUCACAUCUAAAUCUAUCAACCAGCAGGUGAAAGUAAACUGGGAGCUUGUGACAUGGUUCUGGGUGUUGUGUUGGGAUCAGGAUCAACCAUGAUUUAGCAUGAGAAGACUUUCCAUGAUGGAGGAGGUGGAAUGUACAGGAGACUUCUAUUUGCGAAGAAGGGAGUUUUAAUAUUUUUGCCUUAUCUGACCCUAGAGCCAGAGGACAAAGAAGAGAAGGUAAGGACCCUGCAAGAGGAACCGGACUCUCUCAUCUCCUUUCUUUCUCUCUAUUACAGUUUUAAGGUUUUAUUCCUAACCUGGUGCUUUGAGCAUUUUAGGAACUAAACAACUGAGGAAAUAUAAGACACGAUUUAUAGUCAGAACCCAAGAGCAGCUGGGAUUUCAGAGUUAAUCGUGCACCCAGAGCUGAAAGACCUAUUCUCUUUCAACCAGCAAAAAAGAGGUCAAGGUCACUCAAAAACUGAUGAUUUUAGAAGCUAGAGAAUUUUCAUAUUCCAUAUGCCAUCUGCUGACUGAAUGUUAGUUGUUAUUAUUUUCUUCUAAGUGAGCUCCUUUCUUUCUGUUGCUGAUUUUAAGAGUGCUUUCGAAGUAGAGUGUCUGUGCAGCAGAGGCGGUGGUGGUGGUGGUGGGGUAGGAAGAGGUAGACAAGGCUCAGUCAAUGCUCCAGCACUUGCCUGAGAGCUGUGGUGAGGUCCUGGGCCCAUCACAUAGACUGGUGGACACAGAGGCUCUGUGACAUUGCUGAGAUUUUGGAGCACGCCAAGCAAGCUGUUCAGGGCUUCUUCAGUUAGCUUCUGAAAGACCAUGGAAGCCCGUUACUAUUUAGAGCUCUUACCGUAAAUCUGGCUUUUUGAAAUUUGACAUUUGUGUCUGAGGCAUUCUCAGUAUGAGAAGUGCCCAGGGCCCCACAGAUUACUGGUGUUUCCUGUCUGGUGACAUCCCUCCUAUCCCCCCUUAGGUCAGUUGGGGAUUUACAGUAUCCUUACGCAGGCUAGAGCUGCCUUUGUUUGAUGCUAUGGAGUGAUAUUUAUUUUCCCACUGCUGCUUUUCAGUUCUGGGACAUAGUUCUGGAUCUAAAUGUAUCUGAAAAAUAAUCACAGACGAUCUCGGUGAUUGCAGAUGAUAGUCAACAUGGCAUCCUCUGGUGUCUCCCCUGGAAGCAAUAACUCAGAUUAAUUCUGGACUCUUUGGAAGAAUACUUCUGAAUGUCUGGCAGACUGUGAAGCUGGUGCCAUAUAAGUGACCUUUAGGACAUCAUAGCCCACACCAUUAGACAUCUUAAUGCAAAAUGAGGCUCUCCUAUUUCUGGAUCUCAUGAGUACCUACUUCAUGACCUGGCAUACAACUGACAUUCAAAAACAUGUUUGUUUCAUGUGGAAUAUAAUGUCAUGCAUUCAACUGAGGACAGAAGAUCUCAGGGUUAGGAAAAGUCACAUAACUCUGCACAUAACUGUAAGGCCAGCAGUGCAAAGGACUGAGGAACAGGGAGGAUUCUGGCUUGCCUGAUGGUGACUCAGGGAACAGUGAGGUGAGGCUUCUAACUACAGAAAUGGCCUCUGGGAGAAGAGGGAUGGAAAAAAGCUUUACAAAUCCAAACUAUGGAGAUUAUCUUUUAUAGCACUGGUUGGCUGAGCCAUCUGCAUAUACUCACCUUGAUGCCUGAGCCUAGGAGAUGCCUUUGCUUGGAUCCAGCAAGAGCAAACAUGAGUCCACAAGAAAAGGCAUCUUGAGUCUAAGACAAGAAGCUGAGUGAGGAGACCAGAGCCUCUCAGUCCUCUCAAAUUUUAUAAGAGAGAAACUUUAGGACAAGAAGGGAUGUUUGUGCCUCCUUUAGACUGGCUUCAUCUUGAUGGCAUGCGAGCCUUGGACGGAGAACUGGUUUCAAGUCAACAAACUUGAUAAAAGUCUGGCCAAAAUUGGCUCAUAAAUGAGACACCCAAGAUCUACCAUCAGAGAAGCCAACAAAUUACUGUUAUCACUGCUGAUAAGGCAGAGUCUCCUAGAAGUUUCUCUCAGUGAAGAUAAGAGUCUAAAUUUGUGCCAAAGUAGAAAUGGAUACUUUCUGCUUCCGGCCUAGUCUCCUGAGGAACAGGAUGUAACCAACCUUUAGAACUUUGUGCAGCUGUUGAAAAAGAUAGAGGGAACCCCUGCUUGAACCACCAAGCAAAGUCUGGUCACGAUCCAUGUGUGCAACAGUGCAGGGAUCGGAACUGGGCAUCCAGAAGACACUGUGCCUGGGAUCCCACACGUGGUCAUUAGACUGUGCAAACCCUGAUAAACUCAGAAAAACCACCCACGAGAGGAGGAGCUGGGCAGAUCUGGGGUGCCCUCACUGGCCUCUCUGCGUGUCUGGAGGACUCUGGAUUUCUGCGCCCAGACUGCUGGAGUUCCCUCAGGCUUCCAGGUGCAGUGAAGGAGAGAGGUGGGUUUGAGGCUUCCACAUCAGCCUCCCCAUUCCCGGCUUCAUUUGGAGACCUGCUGAGCUCCCGAUAGGUGGGCUGGCCCACACUACCAGCCUAGCCCAGCCUGUUUAGCUGCCGCGCCUGGCCAGAGGUCUGCAGAGGAGGAGCUGGGCAGAUCUGGGGUGCCCUCACUGGCCUCUCUGCGUGUCUGGAGGACUCUGGAUUUCUGCACCCAGACUGCUGGAGUUCCCCCAGGCUUCCAGGUGCAGUGAAGGAGAGAGGUGGGUUUGAGGCUUCCACAUCAGCCUCCCCAUUCCCGGCUUCAUUUGGAGACCUGCUGAGCUCCCGAUAGGUGGGCUGGCCCACACUACCAGCCUAGCCCAGCCUGUUUAGCU